GAUGAAGAACGCAGCGAAAUGCGAUAAGUGAUGUGAAUUGCAGAAUUCAGUGAAUCAUCGAAUCUUUGAACGCACAUUGCGCCCCCUGGUAUUCCGGGGGGCAUGCCUGUUCGAGCGUCAUUUCACCACUCAAGCCUCGCUUGGUAUUGGGCAACGCGGUCCGCCGCGUGCCUCAAAUCGACCGGCUGGGUCUUCUGUCCCCUAAGCGUUGUGGAAACUAUUCGCUAAAGGGUGUUCGGGAGGCUACGCCGUAAAACAACCCCAUUUCUAAGGUUGACCUCGGAUCAGGUAGGGAUACCCGCUGAACUUAAGCAUAUCAAUAAGCGGAGGA
rnacentral:misc_RNA from 1 species